AGAGUUUGAUCCUGGCUCAGGAUGAACGCUAGCGACAGGCUUAACACAUGCAAGUCGAGGGGCAGCAUAAUGGAUAGCAAUAUCUAUGGUGGCGACCGGCGCACGGGUGCGUAACGCGUAUGCAACCUACCUUUAACAGGGGGAUAACACUGAGAAAUUGGUACUAAUACCCCAUAAUAUCAUAGAAGGCAUCUUUUAUGGUUGAAAAUUCCGAUGGUUAGAGAUGGGCAUGCGUUGUAUUAGCUAGUUGGUGAGGUAACGGCUCACCAAGGCGACGAUACAUAGGGGGACUGAGAGGUUAACCCCCCACACUGGUACUGAGACACGGACCAGACUCCUACGGGAGGCAGCAGUGAGGAAUAUUGGUCAAUGGACGCAAGUCUGAACCAGCCAUGCCGCGUGCAGGAUGACGGCUCUAUGAGUUGUAAACUGCUUUUGUACUAGGGUAAACUCACCUACGUGUAGGUGACUGAAAGUAUAGUACGAAUAAGGAUCGGCUAACUCCGUGCCAGCAGCCGCGGUAAUACGGAGGAUUCAAGCGUUAUCCGGAUUUAUUGGGUUUAAAGGGUGCGUAGGCGGUUUGAUAAGUUAGAGGUGAAAUGUUAGGGCUCAACCCUGAAACUGCCUCUAAUACUGUUGGACUAGAGAGUAGUUGCGGUAGGCGGAAUGUAUGGUGUAGCGGUGAAAUGCUUAGAGAUCAUACAGAACACCGAUUGCGAAGGCAGCUUACCAAACUAUAUCUGACGUUGAGGCACGAAAGCGUGGGGAGCAAACAGGAUUAGAUACCCUGGUAGUCCACGCAGUAAACGAUGAUAACUCGUUGUCGGCGAUACACAGUCGGUGACUAAGCGAAAGCGAUAAGUUAUCCACCUGGGGAGUACGUUCGCAAGAAUGAAACUCAAAGGAAUUGACGGGGGCCCGCACAAGCGGAGGAACAUGUG
rnacentral:rRNA from 1 species